AGUGUAGGCGGCCACUUAAGUCGGAUGUGAAAUCCCCGGGCUCAACCUGGGAAUUGCAUUCGAUACUGGGUGGCUAGAGUUUGGUAGAGGUAAGUGGAAUUCCGGGUGUAGCGGUGAAAUGCGUAGAUAUCCGGAGGAACAUCAGUGGCGAAGGCGGCUUACUGGACCAAAACUGACGCUGAGGCUCGGAAGCGUGGGGAGCAAACAGGAUUAGAUACCCUGGUAGUCC
rnacentral:rRNA from 1 species